rnacentral:rRNA from 1 species
AUUGAACGCUGGCGGCAGGCCUAACACAUGCAAGUCGAACGAGUGGCGGACGGGUGAGUAAUGUCUGGGAAACUGCCUGAUGGAGGGUGACAACUACUGGAAACGGUAGCUAAUACCGCAUUUCAUCGGAUGUUCCCAGGUGGGAUUAGCUAGUAGGUGGGGUAAAGUCGGACGUAGGCGACGAUCCCUAGCUGGUCUGAGAGGAUGACCAGCCACGAUGGAACUGAGACACGGCCCAGAUUCGUACGGGAGGCAGCAGUGGGGAAUACUGGACAAAGGGCGCAAGCAUGUUGGAGCAAGGCCGCGUGUCUGAAGAAGGCCUGCGGGUUCUAAAAAAAUGGCAGCCGGGAGGCGUUACCCGUAGAAGAAGCACCGGCUAACUACGUGCCAGCAGCCGCGGUAAUUC